GACUAUGUAUGUCAAGAGUAAAAUGACUUCCUAGCCAUGGAAGAGCAUAUUCUUGUUUAUUGGCAAAGCUGUCACCAUUUAAUUGGUACCAGAUUCUGACUGGCACAAGUAACAUUC
ensembl:snoRNA